rnacentral:rRNA from 1 species
AUUGAACGCUGGCGGCAUGCCUUACACAUGCAAGUCGAACGGCAGCACGGGAGCAAUCCUGGUGGCGAGUGGCGAACGGGUGAGUAAUAUAUCGGAACGUGCCCAGUCGUGGGGGAUAACGUAGCGAAAGCUACGCUAAUACCGCAUACGAUCUACGGAUGAAAGCGGGGGAUCGCAAGACCUCGCGCGGACGGAGCGGCCGAUGGCAGAUUAGGUAGUUGGUGGGAUAAAAGCUUACCAAGCCGACGAUCUGUAGCUGGUCUGAGAGGACGACCAGCCACACUGGGACUGAGACACGGCCCAGACUCCUACGGGAGGCAGCAGUGGGGAAUUUUGGACAAUGGGGAAACCCUGAUCCAGCCAUGCCGCGUGCAGGAUGAAGGCCUCGGGUUGUAACUGCUUUGUACGACGAAAGGUACCUUCUAAUAAGAAGGGACGUCAUGACGGUACCGUAACGAAUAAGACACCGGCUAACUACGUGCCAGCAGCCGCGGU